UUCCUCGUGAAGGUAAUCGAGGUGGUUUCCUCGGGAAGGAUUGAUUCGAGUCUUCCCAGCAUGGUUCUAUCUUUGCUUGGAUCAGACAGGGCUACAGUCUGCUUCAUCGUCAUCUCAGAGUCCUCAAUCUGGAGAACACUAACGUUUUCAUGGUUGAAUCCUCUCAUGGAGGCUGGGUCUGGCAAAGACGAUUUAUUUCCAUUGCCUGGUGACCUCGAUCUAGAAGUAUGCCGCGAUCGACUGUGGGAAGAUUGUUUAGAAUCAGUAAUUCCUUCUGAGGGACUUCGAUAAUGGCUGAUGAGAAUUCUCUCUCGCUGCUGUAGGUUACUGGGAGUGUUGACUCUCAAUGUAUUUACGUGAGCCGUUCAACGUAGGACAAGAGAUUUUCUUCCCAAAAUCGUGGUUCUUUCCGGUGUGGAUCGCAUUUCUAGUUAUAGCUGGUCAAAGAAUUUUCACGCGCUCGUACCAGAGCUCGUAGAGCGCGAGCUUUGAUACUUGGAAGAAUUUUGGUCUUUCUUUGGUACCUGGAA